UACGGAGGGUGCAAGCGUUAAUCGGAAUUACUGGGCGUAAAGCGCGCGUAGGUGGUUUAAUAAGUUGUCUGUGAAAGCCCUGGGCUCAACCUGGGAAAGCCAGGCAAAACUAUUAGACUAGAGUACGAGAGAGGGUAGUGGAAUUUCCAGUGUAGCGGUGAAAUGCGUAGAGAUUGGAAGGAACACCAGUGGCGAAGGCGGCUACCUGGCUUGAUACUGACACUGAGGUGCGAAAGCGUGGGGAGCAAACAGG
rnacentral:rRNA from 1 species